rnacentral:rRNA from 1 species
AUUAAACGCUGGCGGCAUGCCUUACACAUGCAAGUCGAACGGUAGCGCGGGGCAACCUGGCGACGAGUGGCGAACGGGUGAGUAAAGCAUCGGAACGUGCCCUGGAAUGGGGGAUAACGUAGCGAAAGUUACGCUAAUACCGCAUAUUCUGUGAGCAGGAAAGCAGGGGAUCGCAAGACCUUGCGUUCUGGGAGCGGCCGAUGUCGGAUUAGCUAGUUGGUGGGGUAAAAGCCUACCAAGGCGACGAUCCGUAGCGGGUCUGAGAGGAUGAUCCGCCACACUGGGACUGAGACACGGCCCAGACUCCUACGGGAGGCAGCAGUGGGGAAUUUUGGACAAUGGGCGGAAGCCUGAUCCAGCCAUGCCGCGUGAGUGAAGAAGGCC